CUGCAUAUAGAGUCCCAGACCUGCCAAGUUUACAGAGUGAGACACUGUGACCUAUCUCACGUAAGCCCAGGCUGUUGUGUUUGGUAGGUUUCAUUUCUGUGACUCCAGAAACUGAGACUUAGAAGUGAUAUGACCUUUAGCUCCAAGCUAAGGGGCUUUUCUCCUUAUGCCAAGCUAGCUCCUGCUGAUGCAGGGCCUGGCCUUAAAGGACUAAAGCCGUGACUCUUGCCCCUCUGACUGGAAAAGAUUCCAUCACACAAAGCUUAUUGCACUCUCCCCUGUUCUCUGAGAAUGAGUGUCACUGUUUUUUUGGGGAAGUUCUGCCCAGGAGCAAAGGUUUCAGAGCAUGGGCGGGAACCAGACCUGGAAGUCAUCUUUACAGCCAUGCCACCCAAGCACCUCACUGAUGACUUGGUUAUUCACAGGAUGAAAGGAAACUUAGUAUGAAGGAACACAAGUCUUGAGACCCCUGGAGAAGGCCCUGGACCUGAAGAGUCCCAGGAGAAGAGCCAGAGCAGAAACUUCUGGAUGGAGCCAGGUCUGCAGAAACUCCCUGUUGUCUUUCUGGCACAGGGCAUGCUCACUCAUGCUCCAGUUUUCUUGUCCACUGGCAUUGGACAGUGUAUUCUAGUCCUCCCAGGCUUGCAAUUCGUAGACUAACACCUAGGAUUAUAUCCCUCAACCCUGACCCUGCGCCACCACCUUCAAGAUCUUUUGCGGUUCACUUGGGAAUGAUCAUGUGCUGGCUAGUUUUAUGUCAAUUGACACAAGCUGGAGUCAUCUGGGGAGAGGGAACCUCAGUUGAGAAAAUGCCCCCACCAGACUGGACUGAGGGCAAACCUGUGAAGCUUUUUUUUUUUUUCAAUGACUGAUGUGGGAAGGGCCAGUUAGCUGUGGGCAGUGCCCGCCCCUGGCCUGGUGGCCUUGGGUGAAGGGUUAAUGAUCUAAAAGCUGAGAAACUCCAGAUAGGAAAGUUGAUAGAGUGAUAACACCUGCAGGCAGUUAGGAGCUGGGACUCUGCUGACAAGAAAGUCAACCUAUGGAUAAGAGCCUCCCUUGGUAUUUACAGCUCUGAGACUUCAGGGAACACAUCUGCAGAUGGAAUCUUCCAACCUCAAAAGUUUCCUUUUCUGCCCUAUAAAACCCUCAGGCCCCCUGCUCCUGGGUGCACAGUCCAUCUCCGCCCCCUCCCCCCACCACACAGGGACCGCUUCCCCCCCAGCGUCCUAACAAAGGACUGUUUGCUUUUGUUGAGGUUCAUCUGCCGCUGAUUAAUCACCCGAUUGAUCCCCACCUAACACUGGAUGAUAUAAGAGACCAGGCUCUGCAAGCCCAUAGGCGGCACUCCUCCAAGGCCUCUGCGCCAGUUCCUGCUCCCGGGUUCCUGUCCUGCCUUGAGUUCCUUUGGUACUGGACUGCGAUGUGGAAGUGCAAACCUGUAAAUCUUUCCUUCCCCAAAUAGCUUUUAGCCGUGCUGCUUUAUCACAGCCAUAGAUGCCUUAACUAAGACAGUCCGCUUGGCUUCAGCACCAGGCAACCUCACAGGCAGACCCAGUGAUCCAUCUAGGGACACUCAGAAUUUGAGAGAAGGUCAUCUCAGAUCCUACCUAGACUUUUGUGAUCCAAAGAGCUAAGAAACCUGCUAAAUUUCAGCACAGGUGCAGUUUUGAGUUACCUGGCUAGCAUUAGGAACUGUAUUUGGAAGAUGAUUUUUUUUUUAGGUUUCAAAGCCUUAAUCAGAUCUUUGGUCUCCAAGAGGAAAAGGACCAAGAGAUAUGAGCUGCCAGGUUGCAAAGAGGAAAUGUUAGGUUUUUUUUUCCCCUGCUGUUGUGAUAAAAAUACCCUGACAAGAGCAAUGUAAGGGAGAGGGGGUUUAUUUGGCUCACAGCUCCAGCAUACAGUCCAUCAUGGCCUGGGAGUCAUGGCAACAGGAGCUUGAGGUAGCUGGUGACACUGGAUCUGCUGUCAGGAAACAAAGGGAGAAUAAUACAUGCAAUCGACAAGCUUUCUUCUUUGUAUGCCGUCGAAGAUCCAAGUCCAGGCCCAGGCCUCUCAGUUAGGAGGUCAGCCUUCCCAUCUCAGGUAGGUGUUCAGACACUCACGGACUUGCCUAGGGCCUUGUCUCCCAGGCGACUGACAAUUACUAUUAACCCCCACAAAGAGACCGCUCUCGAGGAGGAAGGAAAGGGAAGAAGGGCUGGGCACAGGCUGUCGGGAAGCCUGGGGUCGCCCCGGCACCUGUUGCCAUGGCUGGGUAGUGGUUUCCUGUACUUGUCCACACGUGAGCAGAGAGAACAUAAUGGGUUUGCCUUGGCAGGAAGAGGCUUCCUGUUUUGCUGUGAGGGCUCAUCGUUGGACACUGAGAGGAGGAGGCGGCGUGUGUGUCUGUGUUUUUCGAGUUGCUAGGGUUCCAGAGGAGAGGGAUGGGGACAGGUGUGGAGGGACGUCUGAAGAUGAUAAAUAGGAAAACAGGGGUGGGGUCUAUUCUUUCAGAGUCACUCAUCCACACCUCAGGGCAAGUCUGGCUCUGCUGCCCUGUUGUCAUGACAACUCCAAGCUACAGCCCUCCAGGUCCACCUGAGGGUUGUCUCAGUGCCUUCCCAUCCUCUGGUAAGAUUGUGUUGACUUCUGAGGCGGCCUUUACUUAAGGCAAGCCCCUUAACUUGGAAGCUUGGUCUGAAACCCUGGUGGGAACAAUGGGGGGAGUCAUGGGAUUGGUCUUGUGACAAAGUGACACAUUCGAAAGCUGAAGUGUGUUCCCUGAGCCCCGCAUGCCCAUCUGCACGCUGACUUAGACACCCCUCGUGUACUGAUGCGUGGGGAGGCUUGGAACUGUCUGCUGUAGUGAAGUGGUUCAGGUUCUCGCCUCGGCUGGCUCAGUGGUCUUUCCUCUCACUUACUCAUCUGGCGUAGGGAAUAUUGGCUGUCUGUCCUGUCUUGGUCUCACCUUUGGGGGUCCCACUGAUCAUCUCCUGGAGACCUGUGGGCUCAGGAGGUCAGUGAUACACACUCAGGAACUUCAGUCAAGAAGAAAAGAUGGUGGUGGUCCUAACCUUCCUGCCUGCCUUCCCCUGUGGCAGUUGAAGGAGUCAGUAUCUGCUUCCUCCUCUUGCAACUGUUUAUGGUGCUCAAGGCCCCUAUCAGCCCCUCUCAGCUUGAACACAUUUGAGCUGUCUCUCCCGACUUCCUGCCUGAGCCUUGCCAGGGCAAAGCAUUGAACACUUUUAUCUUUCUGGAAUGUUUCUACCCAGACAGCUCAGCAGUUAAGAGCACUUGCUGUCCUCGAAGAGGACCUAGGUUUGGUUCCCAGCACACACAGCCGACAACUACCUGUAACUCCAGUUCCAGGGGAUCUGGUGAUGCCCUCAUCUGUUCUUCACAGGUACCAGGUAUGACCAUGGUGCACAUGUAUGAAGACAAAGCACUCAUACAUAUGUUUUAAAAAUCCAGUUCAAAGAACUCCCAAUUCCAUGAAGAAUUUCUUUGGUGGCCUUAAAACUGCAGAAUGCUGUCAUGCCUUAUGUUGGCUCUCAGGUGCCACUUAGAGCUCACGAAAGACUACGGAGGAAGAGGGCAGAGGAGGGAAACUCAGCGAAGUGUUUCCAUGCUGGUCACUGGCGCCUGCUUCCAAAGGUCAACAUCAGUUUCGGUUAAGGAGGAAAGUUCACCGAGACUGCUCUGAAAAACUGUCCAGGCUAGGAUGAGGGACCACAGCCUGGCCUUCAGGGAGCUUCCAGACCGAGAGGCAGAUCACCCCUUUCCUGGGUCGGAGAGACUGAGUGGGGACGGGAGCUAGUACUUACUCAGUACCUAUGGUCGGCCAGACCCCAGAACACGUCAUUCAAUCUCACGACAGUUCUGUGAAGUCAUGUUGUGAUGCCCAUUCUAGAGAUGAGGAAAUACAGAGUCGGAGAAGUUAAGGACUUUCCCAAAGGAGGCUCACAGCCGGUAGCAAUGAGCUGAGAAUGGAACUCCCCAUCCAGGUCUUUCCCCUACACCAUUGUUGAACAAGGAACUCGGCUUCACAACUACUGACAGCCCCAAAGCCUAACACUUCUGCUGUCCCAAUGCCAGUUAAAAAGAAAAAAAGGAAGCUCCGCGCAGCCCUAGUGUCCAUACCUUGAAUCUCUGAAGAAAAGGUCAACUUCGAGGACUUGCGUUACUCCAUAAGGGCAGAGGUUCCCUAUGAAGGCUCAGCAAAUGAAGGGAAUCUUCCCAAGCGUCUCUGUAGCAGGGCCUUCCAUUGGCUGUUUUCUUUGUGCAGGGCUGGCACUGCCAAGCAAGGUGGACUCAGAAUGGAGGCCCAGAGAAUACAGGAUGCAACAGGUCCAAGCCCUCUGAUCUGUUCAGCCCGUCAAGCCACCAGGCAAGCUGUUUACAUGGAAUCCAUAGCUCCACCAGGGGCAGAACACAUUUUUCCACAACUGCUGAGAAAGAUGAGCAGCUCGAGGCAGAAUAACAAAAAGCCACUUCAAAAACACACCAGAAGAAGUCACGAAGCGGAGACAAUCACAGCGUAGCCUUGUUUAGAAGGUGAACUCUCAACCCUGGCUGCAUGUUGAAAUUGCCUCGGAGGUUCAACAAUCAUCAGUCAAUCAAUCAAUCAAUCGAUCGAUGUGAUUCCCAGCGUCCUGGGACGCACCCUGGUCAACAGUAGUUUUCAAAGUUCUUCAAAUGAUUCUAAUGUCCAGACAAGGACUGUGAUCCUCCUAGAACUUCUCAAAGUCUGGUGAUGCCCAUGGACCACACCUGGAGUCAUAGCUGUCCGUGUUUAUGUUCCUGUCACUGGAACUGAACCAGGAAGCUGGGAGAGAAGUUCCCCAAACUCAACCCGAGUAGUUGUGCUGUGGGUCGGAAUCAGAUAGAUAACCCCAAGGCAGAAAAUGAAAGACAAAGCCAGGCUGUGCUGUGCCAUCAGGUAAUGAAGAAGCCGUUUUAAACUGAGGGAGCCAGAAGGACCCACAGAGCAUAAAAGAAGAGCUGACAAGUGCUGUUCCGUACCCCAUCCCUCUCUUCUGGCCAUGUCCUUUGGCAAGUGUUGAUGAUGUCCCCAAGCCCACAUGUGAGAGAACCCCAAACUUAGAAUUAGAGACUUUCCCAAAGGUUAUGUGUAUUGCUGGGCCUUAGACCCUGGUCUCAGUUGAGCAUGGUGGUGCACACUUGUAAUCCCAGACUUGGGAGAGUUCAAGGUUAUCCUUACUUGUGUAGUAAGUUCAAGGCAACUUGAGCUACAUGAGAUUGUCUUAUACAACAAAACACAACACAACCAAGCAAACAGCACAAAAGCAAACAUUUGGUAGUAUUUGAGCUUGAGUCCCAAACAAACCUGGCCUCUUACAAUGUAUCAAGUCAGACCCAUCUUUUAGGAUUCAGUGGUGGCACACCUUUAAUCCCAGCACCCAGGAGGCAGAGGCAGAG